rnacentral:rRNA from 1 species
GAUGAACGCUAGCUACAGGCUUAACACAUGCAAGUCGAGGGACCGGCGCACGGGGGAGUAACACGUAUCCAACCUGCCCUUUACUCGGGGAUAGCCUUUCGAAAGAAAGAUUAAUACCCGAUAUAAAGGCUGGGGAUGCGUUUAAUUAGGUGGUUGGUGAGGUAACGGCCCACCAAGCCUUCGAUGGAUAGGGGUUCUGAGAGGAAGGUCCCCCGCAUAGGAAAUGAGGCACGGGCCAAACUCCGACGGGAGGCAGAAGUGAGGAAUAUUGGUCAAUGGGCGGUAGCCUGAAACAGCCAAGUAGCGGGAAGGAUGAAGGCUUAUGGGUCGUAAACUUCUUUUAUAUAAGAAUAUGUAUUAUAUGAAUAAGGAGCGGCUAACUCCGUGCCAGCAGCCGCGAUAAUUC